ACGAACGCUGGCGGCGUGCCUAAUACAUGCAAGUCGAGCGGAAUGAUGAAGAAGCUUGCUUCUUCUGAUUUUAGCGGCGGACGGGUGAGUAACACGUGGGCAACCUACCUUGUAGAUUGGGAUAACUCCGGGAAACCGGGGCUAAUACCGAAUAAUCCAUUUUGCUUCAUGGCGAGAUGUUGAAAGACGGUUUCGGCUGUCACUACAAGAUGGGCCCGCGGCGCAUUAGCUAGUUGGUAGGGUAAUGGCCUACCAAGGCGACGAUGCGUAGCCGACCUGAGAGGGUGAUCGGCCACACUGGGACUGAGACACGGCCCAGACUCCUACGGGAGGCAGCAGUAGGGAAUCUUCCACAAUGGACGAAAGUCUGAUGGAGCAACGCCGCGUGAGUGAAGAAGGUUCUCGGAUCGUAAAACUCUGUUGUAAGGGAAGAACACGUACGAGAGUAACUGCUCGUACCUUGACGGUACCUUAUUAGAAAGCCACGGCUAACUACGUG
rnacentral:rRNA from 1 species